GAAAACUCAAAGAAGUCCAGACGCUUUUCUUUCAAGCUCAUUAAGACUACUAUUACUAUACUAUUAUAAACUCUUACUGCUACUUCCAGGAAAACAAAAGGUCCAUGUACAUCUGGGGUGAGGAUUCAGGUGUGGAUGAAGAUGAUUUACCAUCACAACUGCAAGAUUUUUCUGAUCAAGAGCCAUCCACCAUCACCAGCAAUAGGCAAUGUCAGAGACAGGAUCUUGCUGGAGAUGCUCCACAUCUUCUGGACUCCUGGACAACAAAGUCAGACCCAGGUGCCGCCGACCCACGACACCCAGAUUUAUCCCCAGAAGAACCCCUGGCUAUCAGCUGCCUCUCACCACCAGCUCCACAAAUAAAUCAGCAACAAGCAGCAGAAGGAGGUCGUGAAACAUCAACAAUUUCCGGAGCAGCAGUGUGCACAGGAUGAAAACUCCAGUGAUCUCCGCUCAAGGUCACAUCCUUGUCCUCUAGACCAGUGGAGAAGGAAUGGACAAGCACAGAGGGCAGGUCAAGGGUGAAACAGGUACACUCUGUGCAAAAAUAAAAAAACUCCAUAGAUGUGCAAAGAGUGCAAGAAAUAGUUUAGUCUGCAGCAGGACAAGAACUGCCCUGCAGAAUACCACAACAGCUAAAACACAUGAACAUUGACAGGCAUCCUCUACAGAAACUCAGACACUGAAAGUUGUACAUAAAAAUAAAUCAAUACAAGGACCAACAAUCCACAGGCCACAAUUGACAAUCUGAUAAACUAUGCGAAGAAGAUGUGUUGCACUGCAUGAGGCAAAUGGUGGUCACACCAGAUACUGACCGGUUCUGAGUCCCCAGACCCUCAAUAAAGCAAAAAAAAAAAAAAAAAAAAAAAACGGCACAUUCCAGGGUGGCCUUUUAUUGUGGGCAGUAUAAGGUACACCUGUGCACUACUCAUGAUGUCGGAUCAGCAUCUUGAUGUGGCACACCUGUGAGGUGGGAUGGAUUAUCUCAGAAAAGCACAGGUGCUUACUAUCACACAUUUAGACUGAUUUGUGAACAAUGUUUAAGGGAAAUGGUGAUAUUGUGUAUCUAGAAUGAUCUUUAGAUCUUUAAGUCCAUCUCAUGAAAAAUGGGAGCAAAAACAAGUGUUGCGUGUAUAUUUUUGUUUAGUGUAAGAAAAUUGAAUUUGGAUUCAUCUUAACCAUCAGCAGAUUUUAUUGCUUGUCACUGUAAUGAACUUAGUCAUCACAGAUCUUCAGAAACCCACAGCAUGACAACAUCAAAGCCAACCAAGUCUGCACGAUAUGUUUUAACAUGAAAUAUAUCCAUGCACACACACACACUCAACAGAACUUGGGUAUCUUGAAACAGAACACGUUACCUGGAGGAAAAAUCAUCCUCCUUUUUAAAGGUGAAGAUUGAACCGGGAGCUUAGGAUUGACCGGCUCAGUUGGAGGCUCUUGGGGAGGCAGAACAUCAUUAUUUGGCACCACAGUCACUAGAGCCCUGGUUAGAUGGCUCCCUGAACUGCAGAUCGAGUCCCUUAAGGGGGCCAACCAUGCAGAGAAGUGACGAAAUAGCGCCUACACCGACCCAAGUGACAAACAGCAGUUGAAGCACGUAGUGAGGGAAAUGACAGAGGAGGACCAGGAGUAAGUCACAGGUUGAAAACUGAGGCCAGAACCUGAAGAGAGCUCACGCAGUACUCAAGACAGCAGUAGCUCAGGAGGUAGAAGGUUGCAGGUUCGAUCCUGGCUCCGACAAGAGAGUUCUACUGUUGUGUCCUUGGGCAAGACACUUAACCCACGUUGCCUGCUGGUGGUGGUCGGAGGGAACGGUGGUGCCAGUGCUCGGCAGCCUCGCCUCUGUCAGUUCGCCCCAGAGCAGCUGUAGCUACAUCGUAGCUCAUCCCCACCAGCGUGUGAAUGUGUGUGUGAAUGGGUGAAUGACUGAUUGUGUUGUGAAGCGCCUUGGGGGGGUCAUAGAACCCUAAGAAGGCGCUAUACAGGCCAUUUACCAUUUACUUUGUCUACCGCACUAACCAGAACUAUGGUCGGGCCGUUGAACGUAACAUGUCCACAGCAGCGGGAGAAAAAGCAAAGGAGAUUUCAUAAAAAGGAGAAAACUCUACAACAGACUUGUGUUCAUCUGGAUCUAAGUAAUAUAGAGAGACCUCACCAACGUGGACCAUGGCACCACAAGGGACUGACAACCACAGAGUUUGGGAUGGCAGCUCAACCCAAGUGAACACGUCAUGGCGAUCAUAGAAAAUGUUGGCUUCAAGCGCAGGGGGAUUGA